GCUGGCGGCAUGCCUUACACAUGCAAGUCGAACGGCAGCACGGGGGCAACCCUGGUGGCGAGUGGCGAACGGGUGAGUAAUACAUCGGAACGUGCCCCGUAGCGGGGGAUAACCAGUCGAAAGACUGGCUAAUACCGCAUACGCUCUACGGAGGAAAGCAGGGGAUCGCAAGACCUUGCACUAUGGGAGCGGCCGAUGCCCGAUUAGCUAGUUGGUGAGGUAAAGGCUCACCAAGGCGACGAUCGGUAGCUGGUCUGAGAGGACGUCCAGCCACACUGGGACUGAGACACGGCCCAGACUCCUACGGGAGGCAGCAGUGGGGAAUUUUGGACAAUGGGCGCAAGCCUGAUCCAGCCAUGCCGCGUGCGGGAAGAAGGCCUUCGGGUUGUAAACCGCUUUUGGCAGGAACGAAACGGCGCGAGCUAAUACCCCGCGCUAAUGACGGUACCUGCAGAAUAAGCACCGGCUAACUACGUGCCAGCAGCCGCGGUAAUACGUAGGGUGCAAGCGUUAAUCGGAAUUACUGGGCGUAAAGCGUACGCAGGCGGCUAUGUAAGACAGG
rnacentral:rRNA from 1 species